UAAGGCAAUGUGGUAGUUUUUGUGCUAAUAUUGGAUAUGAUAUUUUGAGUUGUCUCCAUAAUUUAAUUGCUUUUAGAGUUUUGGGAUUUGUUUCGUAAUAUGUUGACUGUUGCUCAUAUUUGGUUUUGAUGUUUGAAACUAUUAUUAUGACUGUUUUGGUGUUUAUUUGAUAAUGAUAUGAUAGCAUGUUGAACUGGUACGAGUUG
rnacentral:lncRNA from 1 species